AUUGAACGCUGGCGGCAGGCCUAACACAUGCAAGUCGAGCGGAGCGGCGGACGGGUGAGUCAUGCCUAGGAAUCUGCCUGGUAGUGGGGGAUCACGUCCGGAAACGGGCGCUAAUACCGCAUACUAUCAGAUGAGCCUAGGUCGGAUUAGCUAGUUGGUGGGUGAAAGGCCUACCAAGGCGACGAUCCGUAACUGUGCUGAGGGGAUGAUCAGUCACACGGGAACUGAGACAUGUUCCAGACUCCUACGGUAGGCAGCAGUGGGGAAGAUGGGACAAUGGGCGAAAGCCUGAUCCAGCUAUGCCGCGUGUGUGAAGAAGGUCUUCGGAUUGUAAAGCACUUUAAGUUGGGAGGCGUUACCAACAGAAUAAGCACCGGCUAACUUCGUGCCAGCAGCCGCGGUAAUUC
rnacentral:rRNA from 1 species